AUCAGAUCGAAAGCUAUGGAGAGAAAACCUUCGUUGAAGUUAGCUUCAUUGCUCCUUCUGUUGGCUACAGUGACUUGUAUGGCAUUGUGUAGGAUGCCAGUGGCUGAAGCAAGGGGGCAGCUUCGGUGUCCUCGUAUGAUAGACUGCAGUGCUGUGUGUCAAGGAUAUCCCUGGCGCUGCGUGGAUGGCAAAUGCAUAUGUGACGGCGGUAGCCCUCCUCCCCAACAAGGCCAAGGUGGAGGACACUAGUGGCUAGUUAACUGCCAUGAGUAAAAGGAUAUCAUUCAUGUAUAAGAUGAACAAAUAAAAGCAGCAACACCCUUCUUGAAUUAUUA